rnacentral:rRNA from 1 species
UCAGUCGACUCCUACGGGGAGGCAGCAGUGGGGAAGUAUUGCACAAUGGGCGCAAGCCUGAUGCAGCCAUGCCGCGUGUGUGAAGAAGGCCUUCGGGUUGUAAAGCACUUUCAGUCGUGAGGAAGGUGGUAGUGUUAAUAGCACUAUCAUUUGACGUUAGCGACAGAAGAAGCACCGGCUAACUCCGUGCCAGCAGCCGCGGUAAUACGGAGGGUGCGAGCGUUAAUCGGAAUUACUGGGCGUAAAGCGCAUGCAGGUGGUUUGUUAAGUCAGAUGUGAAAGCCCGGGGCUCAACCUCGGAAUAGCAUUUGAAACUAGGCAGACUAGAGUACUGUAGAGGGGGGUAGGAAUUUCAGGUGUAGCGGUGAAAUGCGUAGAGAUCUGAAGGAAUACCGGUGGCGAAGGCGGCCCCCUCGGACAGAUACUGACACUCAGAUGCGAAAGCGUGGGGAGCAAACAGGAUUAGAUACCCUGGUAG